GGGGAGGGUUCGCCGCGGCCUCACCGCCGCCAUGGCUUCUCCCUUUCCUUCGGGCCUUCAACGAGAAAGUAUUUCAGUGGCGCAGGCAUUUACAGGAAAAUAAAGAAAUACAAUAUGAAUCCAUCAGUUUCCUUGGCUGCAUAAGGUUGGGGAAGACAACCUCCGGCCCUGCCAAUCUCGUGAGAUUGAAGUGCUCUCCCAUUCCAAACCCUUGUUUGUGUGGAUGCUGUGUAAUUUGCUACCCUGUUACAAAUUAGUGCUACAAAAUAGCAGACAGUACACUGCAUACGAUUAAAAGAUUAUAUUGAUGAAUCUUAAUUUGACUAAAGGGUGAGUAAAGAAAAGAACAAAAAUAAAUGAAAAGGGCUCAUUUUAAUGAAAGAGUCAAAUGCACACAAGUUGGAACUCAAAGUUUCUCCAUAGACACUGAUCAUCAAUCAAACUCGCUGCUGGCUUUGUGGAAUCAUGGUCCUGCUCUGGGUCGAAUCCUGUGACUCUUCUGUCCUGCAUCUUCCCUUUUCAUCUCCUCUCCAACAAAAGCCCCUAAGUCCAACCUUAGUGUCCCUACCAGAGAAACCUCUUCUUAAUUUGACCAUCCUAACUGGAUUUCUCCUCAUCACUUCAACAAUAACCCAAAUAGGCUGAAAACAGAACAGACAGCUCUCAUAGAACUGCUAAAUAAGAUGCAUACAGCAUAACAGUAAAAAUAUGAACCAGGGUAUUACAAAUAGAAUUUAUGAAAAGCUAUAUAUAAACAAAGCCAAUGUGCAAAACAAGACAAAUUUUGCAAAUAAAAAGAUACUGAGAACAUGACAUGUAGAGUGUUUGAAAGUGAGUCUGUAGGUUAUAGAAUCAGUUCAGAUUUGUGGUAAGCGAAGUUAUCCACACUGGUUCAGGAGUCUGAUGGUUGUAGGGUAAUAACUUCCUGAACCUGGUAGUGUGGACCUAAAGCUCCUGUGCCUCCUGUCUGAUGGUAGUAGUGAGAAGAGAGCCUGAUUUGGAUAUUGAGGGUCCUUGAUGAUAGAUGCUACUUUCAUGUGGCAGCUUUCCUACAUGCCAAUUUGUCAUCAUCUUUGAUUCAGCCAAUAACAGUAUCAGCAAAUGUAAAUGGAACAUUGGAGCUAUACUUAGCCUUGUGGUGAACUACAUAUACCUGUCUGGACACCACCCCCCCCCCCCCCCCCCGCUGACUGCUCCUGUGGCUCCUCCCAUGGACCCCGGUAUAAAGGCGAUUGGAGACACUGCCCCGGCCUCGGUCUCCAGGAUGCAGUGUGGUGGUCAAUUGCUGAUUGUUCUUUCUUCCAGCCAAUAAAAGCCUAUAUCUCGCCUCA